GCUGGCGGCAGGCCUAACACAUGCAAGUCGAGCGCUGUAGCAAUACAGAGUCGGCGCACGGGUGAGUAACACGUGGGAACGUGCCCAACGGUUCGGAAUAACUCAGGGAAACUUGAGCUAAUACCGGAUACGCCCCUUCGGGGGGAAAGAUUUAUCGCCGAUGGAGCGGCCCGCGUCCGAUUAGCUUGUUGGUGAGGUAAAAGCUUACCAAGGCGACGAUCGGUAGCUGGUUUGAGAGAACGAUCAGCCACACUGGGACUGAGACACGGCCCAGACUCCUACGGGAGGCAGCAGUGGGGAAUCUUGGACAAUGGGGGAAACCCUGAUCCAGCCAUGCCGCGUGAGUGAUGAAGGCCCUAGGGUUGUAAAACUCUUUCGGCGGGGACGAUAAUGACGGUACCCGCAGAAGAAGCUCCGGCUAACUUCGUGCCAGCAGCCGCGGUAAUACGAAGGGGGCUAGCGUUGUUCGGAAUUACUGGGCGUAAAGCGCGCGCAGGCGGUUUUCCAAGUCAGAGGUGAAAGCCCAGAGCUCAACUCUGGAACUGCCUUUGAAACUGGAGAACUAGGGUACGGGAGAG
rnacentral:rRNA from 1 species